rnacentral:rRNA from 1 species
CCCUUAGAUGUUCUGGGCUGCACGCGCGCUACACUGAUGCAUUCAACGAGCUUAUAACCUUGGCCGAGAGGCCUGGGCAAUCUUGUUAACGUGCAUCGUGAUAGGGAUAGAUUAUUGAAAUUAUUAAUCUUGAACGAGGAAUUCCUAGUAAACGCAGAUCAUCAAUCUGCAUUGAUUACGUCCCUGCCCUUUGUACACACCGCCCGUCGCUCCUACCGAUUGAAUGAUCCGAUGAAUAUCAUGGAUUGAGGAUGCAAGCAGGUUCGCCUGUCUUCAUCUUCGAGAAGUGAAGUAAAUCUUAUCAUUUAGAGGAAGGAGAAGUCGUAACA